CAGUAGCCGCGGUAAUACGUAGGUGGCAAGCGUUGUCCGGAAUUAUUGGGCGUAAAGGGCUCGCAGGCGGUUUCUUAAGUCUGAUGUGAAAGCCCCCGGCUCAACCGGGGAGGGUCAUUGGAAACUGGGAAACUUGAGUGCAGAAGAGGAGAGUGGAAUUCCACGUGUAUCGGUGAAAUGCGUAGAGAUGUGGAGGAACACCAGUGGCGAAGGCGACUCUCUGGUCUGUAACUGACGCUGAGGAGCGAAAGCGUGGGGAGCGAACAGGAUUAGAUACCCCCGUAGUCCCUGUCUCUUAUAC
rnacentral:rRNA from 1 species